rnacentral:rRNA from 1 species
UGGGGAAUUUUGGACAAUGGGCGAAAGCCUGAUCCAGCAAUGCCGCGUGUGUGAAGAAGGCCUUCGGGUUGUAAAGCACUUUUGUCCGGAAAGAAAUCCUUGGCUCUAAUACAGUCGGGGGAUGACGGUACCGGAAGAAUAAGCACCGGCUAACUACGUGCCAGCAGCCGCGGUAAUACGUAGGGUGCAAGCGUUAAUCGGAAUUACUGGGCGUAAAGCGUGCGCAGGCGGUUUGCUAAGACCGAUGUGAAAUCCCCGGGCUCAACCUGGGAACUGCAUUGGUGACUGGCAGGCUAGAGUAUGGCAGAGGGGGGUAGAAUUCCACGUGUAGCAGUGAAAUGCGUAGAGAUGUGGAGGAAUACCGAUGGCGAAGGCAGCCCCCUGGGCCAAUACUGACGCUCAUGCACGAAAGCGUGGGGAGCAAACAGGAUUAGAUACCCUGGUAGUCCACGCCCUAAACGAUGUCAACUAGUUGUUGGGGACUCAUUUCCUUAGUAACGUAGCUAACGCGUGAAGUUGACCGCCUGGGGAGUACGGUCGCAAGAUUAAAACUUAAAGGAAUUGACGGGGUCAUAGCUGUUUCCU